CCGGGAAUCCACAUCCUUUGCUGAGAUUUGCUGAGAUCUUAAAGCAGGAUCAAGGCUUAAUUUUUUCUACAUCUGUUUGUCUUUUACAUUUAUUUUUAGACACAGCUCUAUGACUUAACAGCCUAGGAUAGCUUACUGCCUCAAAUAAGAGAUUUGAGUCAAAGAUUUCUAAACUACGUUUAUAAACUUUACAUUAGAUGCUUGAUUCCUAAAGCAAAGAACAGAAGAAUAUUUCUCCCAUGUUAUAAUUCUUCUCAAGCCUCACACUUGCACUGUUGACAUCAACGGAGUUUGAUAUCAACUUUAAAAAGGCACCUAGCCAAAGUCUGCAGACAGAGAUGGAUUUCCAUCAGCCAGAGAAUCACUUGCAGCAUCUACUUCUGCCUGGGAUGGAUUGAUAGUUAUUGUCCUAAGAUGGGAAAACCAGCAGACAUGCUCUGAUGAGAAGCAGUCUCUGAACAACUCCUACAGUUUCACUCAAAGGUGGAGGUCUCUUGGAGAAAUAUACUUAAAGUGAAAGCUGUGAUCCAAAUUCAACAUUCGAAAAAAUC
rnacentral:lncRNA from 1 species